rnacentral:rRNA from 1 species
GACGAACGCUGGCGGCGUGCCUAAUACAUGCAAGUCGAGCGGACGAAUCGAAAGCUUGCUUUUGAUUCGUUAGCGGCGGACGGGUGAGUAACACGUGGGCAACCUGCCCUGUAGACGGGGAUAACACCGAGAAAUCGGUGCUAAUACCGGAUAACACGAAAUGUCGCAUGACGUUUCGUUGAAAGACGGCGCAAGCUGUCGCUACAGGAUGGGCCCGCGGCGCAUUAGCUAGUUGGUGAGGUAACGGCUCACCAAGGCGACGAUGCGUAGCCGACCUGAGAGGGUGAUCGGCCACACUGGGACUGAGACACGGCCCAG